rnacentral:rRNA from 1 species
CAGGAGCUUGCUCUUGGGGAUUAGUGGCGAACGGGUGAGUAACACGUGAGUAACCUGCCCUUGACUCUGGGAUAACCUCCGGAAACGGAAGCUAAUACCGGAUACGAACUGCGAAGGCAUCUUCAGCAGUUGGAAAGAACUUCGGUCAAGGAUGGACUCGCGGCCUAUCAGGUAGUUGGUGAGGUAACGGCCCACCAAGCCUACGACGGGUAGCCGGCCUGAGAGGGUGACCGGCCACACUGGGACUGAGACACGGCCCAGACUCCUACGGGAGGCAGCAGUGGGGAAUAUUGCACAAUGGGCGCAAGCCUGAUGCAGCAACGCCGCGUGAGGGAUGACGGCCUUCGGGUUGUAAACCUCUUUUAGUAGGGAAGAAGCGAAAGUGACGGUACCUGCAGAAAAAGCACCGGCUAACUACGUGCCAGCAGCCGCGGUAAUACGUAGGGUGCGAGCGUUGUCCGGAAUUAUUGGGCGUAAAGAGCUCGUAGGCGGUCUGUCGCGUCUGCUGUGAAAACCCGAGGCUCAACCUCGGGCCUGCAGUGGGUACGGGCAGACUAGAGUGCGGUAGGGGAGAAUGGAAUUCCUGGUGUAGCGGUGGAAUGCGCAGAUAUCAGGAGGAACACCGAUGGCGAAGGCAGUUCUCUGGGCCGUAACUGACGCUGAGGAGCGAAAGCGUGGGGAGCGAACAGGAUUAGAUACCCUGGUAGUCCACGCCGUAAACGUUGGGCGCUAGAUGUGG